rnacentral:rRNA from 1 species
UACAGAGGUCCCAAGCGUUGUUCGGAUUCAUUGGGCGUAAAGGGUGCGUAGGCGGCGCGGUAAGUCGGGUGUGAAAUCUCGGAGCUUAACUCCGAAACUGCAUUCGAUACUGCCGUGCUUGAGGACUGGAGAGGAGACUGGAAUUUACGGUGUAGCGGUGAAAUGCGCAGAUAUCAGGAGGAACACCGGUGGCGAAGGCGGGUCUCUGGGCCGUAACUGACGCUGAGGAGCGAAAGCAUGGGUAGCGAACAGG